GCUGGGCGUGGUGGUGCACGCCUGUAAUCUCAGCUACUUGGGAGGCUGAGGCAGGAGAAUUGCUUGAACCCAGGAGGCGGAGGUUGCAGUGAGCGGAGAUCGUGCCACUGCACUCCAGCCUGGGUAACAGAGUGAGACUCUGUCUCAA
rnacentral:SRP_RNA from 1 species